rnacentral:rRNA from 1 species
CUCCUGGAAACGGGUGGUAAUGCCGGAUGCUCCGCCCCCUCGCAUGGGGGGCCGGGAAGGCUUUUGCGGAAUGGGAUGGGGUCGCGUCCUAUCAGCUUGUUGGCGGGGCGACGGCCCACCAAGGCUUCGACGGGUAGCCGGCCUGAGAGGGCGACCGGCCACAUUGGGACUGAGAUACGGCCCAGACUCCUACGGGAGGCAGCAGUGGGGAAUAUUGCACAAUGGGGGGAACCCUGAUGCAGCGACGCCGCGUGCGGGAUGGAGGCCUUCGGGUCGUGAACCGCUUUUGAUUGGGAGCAAGCGUGAGUGAGUGUACCUUUCGAAUAAGCACCGGCUAACUACGUGCCAGCAGCCGCGGUAAUACGUAGGGUGCAAGCGUUGUCCGGAAUCAUUGGGCGUAAAGGGCUCGUAGGCGGUUCGUCGCGUCCGGUGUGAAAGCCCAUCGCUUAACGGUGGGUCUGCGCCGGGUACGGGCGGGCUUGAGUGCGGCAGGGGAGGCUGGAAUUCCCGGUGUAACGGUGGAAUGUGUAGAUAUCGGGAAGAACACC